rnacentral:lncRNA from 1 species
GGAGUCACAAGCAUAGAACAACUGGAAGUCUCACUGAGGAAAGGACUCUUUGCCUCAGACCCGGACAAUCGGCACUCUCGCCUGCUGUACAAACUAUUGGGACUUCCCCGGCUGAUUGUGGUGUGGAUGUUAUUUACUCUGACAACAAAGGUCUGAGGCAAGGAUUGCUGAUGUGGAGUCAAAGAGAAGUCCAGACGGGAGAAGACGAGCUAGCAUCCCAGAUAUUUCCGUGUAGCCCUCCAGAUCCACUCCCCACUCUUCCCCACCCUGUUCUGUG